rnacentral:lncRNA from 1 species
GAUCAGAGGGUUCCUUGCCCAUUGCUCUGCCAGCGAGCUGCGAACCAGCCUCCCAUAAUGAAACUGAAACCCCAAAAAGGCCGAAUUCUCACCUCGUGUCCACUGCCCGGCAGCCAGGACAUGCGUCCUUGUGCGAGUGAAAGUGGAUAUGACACAGAUUUAAUGAGGCAACAGCUUCCUGGCAGCGCCACAGGCUGCUCAGAAGCUGUAUCAUUAUUCAUUUACUUGACUAAUGCAGUCGUGUUGUGAAAAAGAGAGGGGAAAGCUGUCUGAAGUGCUGAGUACACGAGAAGGCUUCUGAAAAACAGAGCUACUCCAGCAGGGUCUGUUGGAGCUUAGGCAUGGAGCACAUCUUAGUCUGGAGGUAGCAAUGAGAAACUGCCACGUCAAAGAUCUCUGCAAAAGUACAUUCGGGAACAUCUCCUACAUGCUCAUGUUGGCUUCAGUGCAGUAUUUUCCCCUAAAAGGGGAUCAUCUGAGUUAUCUUCAUCCCUGUCUUCUUCCAGGAGCUUUGCUCUACAUGCACGACAGCAAGGAUUUGGACAAGGAGGACAACCCACAAGUGCUACCUGAUGGUCACCACGUGGAAGGACAAAGUCUCUACUACCAGGUAGUGCUCGAUAUAUCUCCAAAUGACUUGAAGCAGAAGGAUGCUGCUACCAAGGAAGAGUUUGGACUCAGUUAUGCCAGCGUACAUCCAAAGUUGGCAUCCCCUGAUGCCAAGAGCUCUGCCUUCGUCAGCUCUCCGCAUUCUUUUGGGAGCUGCUGGAAAUGGCAUCCUCAGACAUCUGCCUGCUCAGAGCUGAAGGCAGAGAUGGCAAAGGGAAACAAAAAAAAAAUCACAACUGUAUGUUUUUUGGCUCUGGGGUGA